UUUCAAUAGAUAUUUACACGGGUUGUUUAUUAUUUGUCAACAUUCUUUCAACAUUUAUUUGUAUAUUUAUUUACACAAAUUGUAAUAUUGUUAAUUUAUUUGUUGAAUUAUGUAGACUAACUAUUUUAUUGCUAAAGCAGCUGUUUCAAAAAUCUGACAUAGGCCUACCUCGACAUCUGGUCACCUUUACAGAAACAAAACACUAUGAAAACUUAUUCUCUCUCUCUCUCUCUCUCUCUCUCUCUCUUUCUCUCUCUCUCUCUCUCUUUCUUGUCAACUGCACAGCUGUCCAGCAGCUGGGAUUUUUCCUUCAUCCCUGUUGUGGGAUGUAAAAUGAUGUCACUGAUGCUGAUGCAGCCAACAGAAAAGUGCCAUUGGUACCAGUUUGUGAAGAGCUUCUUCCUGAUUGAGCUCAGGAAGAUGAACAGCUGGGAGAACCAAUCAUCAUGGAGAAGAGGAUGGGGACAGGGCAGAUGGGGUACUUGGGUGCUAUGCACAGAAAGUCACGUAGGCAAGACCCCCUCCUCCUUUCACCCGCUGCCUCACUGCCUCAAUAGCUCAGUCUAAGUGCCUCAGUCUCAGUCAGAAGCUGUGGGUCUACCCAGCUGUCAAGUCAAGUCAUCUUUAUUUAUGUAGCGCUUUUAACAAUACAGAUUGUGUCAAAGCACCUUUACAGUAUCAAAAUAGGAAAAUAAUGUAUCAAUGCAUAAGGACAAUAUUAAACACCCAAUUUUCAGUUAAAGGCAGUUCAUCAUUGAAUUCAGUGAUGUCAUCGUCCAGCUCAGUUCAGUUUAAAUAGUAUCUGUGCAAUCAAGUUGAUGAUAUCGCUGGGAAUUAAGUGUCCCCAACUAAACAAGCCAUAGGCGACAGCAGCAAGGAACCAAAACUCCAUCGGUGACAGAAUGGAGAAAAAAACCUUGGGAGAAACCAGGCUCAGUCGGGGGGCCAGUUCUCCUCCGGCCAGAUGAACCAGCAGGCUGAUCCAUGCUGCAGCAAAGUUAGAUUGUGCAGAGGACUCAGCUGGUUCUGUGGUCUGGUCCCAAUGGCCGUCUAGGAGACAGGUCUUCACUGGGGAUCUGUCUCUGAGGCUCAUCUAGUUGUCCUGGUCUAUGCUGAAAUUCAGUGCUGUAGAGGUCGUCUCUAGGUGCUGAUCCACCAUCUGGGCUGGAUACGGACUGGAUCUGGUGGCAACGGUGACCUCAGAAUAAGAAAGAGAGCAAUAUUAGCAUAGAUGCCAUUCUUCUUACGAUGUAACAAGUACAUUGUGUGUUAUUGGAAGUGUUCCCAGUUCCAGUUGACCUUAUUAAUGCAGCCUAACAAUCCUUUAACGGAUUUAAGUAAUAGAAAUGUGUAAGUGUGUUAUGUGUAAGCCAGGUUAAAGAGAUGGGUCUUUAAUCUAGAUUUAAACUGACAGAGUGUGUCUGCCUCCUGAACAGUGUUAGGUAGAUUAUUCCGGAGUUUGGGCCUUUUUUUUUAUUCUAUUCCAUUCCUAUUGUUUUCUAUCAUAUCCUGUCCUUUUAUCCUGUCCUUUUAUAUCUUGUCUUGUUCUGUUCUGUCCUAUUUUAUUUUAUUUUAUUUACAUUUAUAUUGCUAUGUCCAUACCAUCCUAUUCAUAUGAUUUUUUUCUUCUAUCAUAUCCUUUGCAUUUGCUAUUCUUGUUCCGAAUGCUGUUCUGUUCUGACCUAUGCUAUCCCUAUUCUGGCCUAUCCUGUCCUAGAGUCUACAAUUCUUAUUUUUCCUAUCCUAUUGCUUUCUUGUCUUCUGCUCCUUUCACUUAUCACUAUCACCUAUUAGUGUAUGGGAAGCCGUUUUAGCUUAAAAUAUUCCAAGUGUUACUCCAUGGUAAUUGCAUUUUUACUAGUAACAAUUCAAUUCAACAAUUCAAUUAGAGAGCUCUACAAUUAAAUGCUAAUUAGUAACAAUGCCAAUUAGAGAGCUCUCUAAAUUAUUUUUACUAGUAAGAAUUUCAAUUAGAGAGUGCUCUAAUUCAGUUUUUAUUAGUAAGAACUGAAUUAGAGAGCUCUUUAAUUCCAUUACAGAGCUCUACAAUUAAACAUAUCUUUAAUGUGUUUUUUUUACUAGUAAAAACUGAAUUAUAGAGCUCUGUAAUUGCAUUUUUACUAGUAAGAAUUAAACUAGAGAGCUCUCUAAUUGGAACUGUUACUAGUAAAAAUUUAAUAAGAGAGCUCUCUAAUUGGAAGUGUUAUUAGUAAGAAUUCAGUUGCAGAGCUCUGUAAUUGUAAUUCAUAUCAGUAAAAAUUCAGUUGUAGAACUUUGCAAUUAAAAAUGAAUGGUAGUCAAGUCAAUGUAGACAUAUGACUAGCAAAAAUUAAUUUGUAGAGCUCUCUAAUCAUAAUUGUUUCUAUUAAGAAUUGAAUUAAAGAGCUCUCUGAUUGGCAUUGUUACUAUUAAUAAUUUAAUUGUAGAGCUCUCUAAUUGAAUUGUAACUAGUAAAAAUGCAAAUACAACGAAUAAUACUGGGAAUAUUUUAAGAUAAAUUUACUUGCUAUAAUUAGUGCCUAUCAUCUCCUAUCACCCUUUUACCAAGUUUUUUUUUUUUUCAGGUCACACUUAUAAUUCUCAUGCCAUAGACUUACAUUGAACAAGCAACCAAUUUCAGAGAUUGCGGGGUGAGCUUUCUUGAUUUGAGUUCAGUAAGCAAACACCUGCAACACCCAGACAACCACAUAGUAACACCCUGGUGUUGUUAUAUGUAUCAGUAUAAUCUAGCUGAGCUCAGAAUUGUUAAUAUCCCUUACGAAAAAGACGUUUAUUCAAGUUUGCUAUUAGUAUACUUUUAAACUAAAAAUAGGAAAGUAUGCUUUUAGUUUACUUUUUAUGUACUUCUCAGAAAUGGGCUUUAUGUACUCCUCAGAAAUAUACUUAAAAUGACUUUUAAGUAUACCUGACUUAUACAUACAAAAAGUCUAAAUAGAUUUGAGCUAUACUCCUAGAAUCCGUGUUUUCAUUAUUAUACGGUAGAGGGCGCUAGUACAUAUCUUCUGUAAAGAAUUUCAAAAAAAACACAAGUGAAAAAGAAAAAAAGAAACAACAGAUACUAACACAUGUAAUCUAACACGAUCAUCUGACAUGAAACAGCAUCAAAACUGUAAUGUUAUGGAAUAAAAUAUUGACCGAUGAAGAGGUAAUAAUUACA
ensembl:lncRNA